rnacentral:lncRNA from 1 species
GAAGAAGGUGGGGGUAGGGAGAGGACUGAAGGAGAGCUGGUGGAAAGAUUGGGAUUCCUGCAAAGGAACUGAACAGAGGAAGAGUUGGGGAGCAGACUAGCCCUCCCCCCACCCCAGCCUGUCUCCUGGCAGUGUCUCUAUGGCUGCUACGUUCACUCUUCCAUCGUCCCCACAUUCCAUCGGCGCUGCUAUUGGCUGCUCCAGAACCCUGACAUCGUCCUUGUGCACUACCUGAAUGUCCCAGCCCUGGAGGAUUGUGGAAAGGGCUGUAGCCCCAUCUUUUGUUCCAUUAGUAGCGACCGGCGAGAAUGGCUGAAGUGGUCACGUGAGGAGCUAUUGGGACAGCUGAAGCCCAUGUUUCAUGGCAUCAA